rnacentral:rRNA from 1 species
CAUUCCUACGGGAGGCAGCAGUGGGGAAUAUUGCACAAUGGGGGAAACCCUGAUGCAGCGACGCCGCGUGAGCGAGGAAGUAUUUCGGUAUGUAAAGCUCUGUCAGCAGGGAAGAAGAAUGACGGUACCUGAAGAAGAAGCACCGGCUAAAUACGUGCCAGCAGCCGCGGUAAUACGUAGGGGGCAAGCGUUAUCCGGAUUUACUGGGUGUAAAGGGAGCGUAGACGGCUUGGCAAGCCAGAUGUGAAAG